rnacentral:misc_RNA from 1 species
AACGCACAUUGCGCCCGCUAGUAUUCUGGCGGGCAUGCCUGUUCGAGCGUCAUUUCAACCAUCAAGCCCCCGGCUUGUGUUGGGGACCUGCGGCUGCCGCAGGCCCUGAAAUCCAGUGGCGGGCUCGCCGUAGCACCGAGCGUAGUAGCAUACUUCUCGCUCCGGUAGCAGCGGUGGGCGCCUGCCGUAAAAACCCCCUUACAAUCUCAAGGUUGACCUCGGAUCAGGUAGGAAUACCCGCUGAACUUAA